UGUCUGUCAAAUAUAAAGUCUGAUUGUCUGAUAAUGUCGGGGAUAGCUGUAUGAGCUUUCGUAACGUUCGGUUGUGUGACAGUUCAGUGUGGAAGUGAUAAUUCAAAAAAAAACGCAGGCGACAAAAACAAAAUAGGAACUACAUAAUAGAGCUACAGAAAAACAAGAAGAAGGACAAGGACCACAUAGGACCAAAAAAAAAAAAAUAGAUCUGAAGUUGACAGGACACCUGGUUGUGCAUUGCCUUGAGCAAGACGCGCAUAACCAAUAA